rnacentral:rRNA from 1 species
AUUGAACGCUGGCGGAAUGCUUUACACAUGCAAGUCGAACGGUAGAGGGGGCAACCCCUCGAGAGUGGCGAACGGGUGAGUAAUAUAUCGGAACGUGACCCGUCGUGGGGGAGAACGUAGCGGAAGUUACGCUAAUACCGCAUACGAUCUAAGGAUGAAAGCGGGGGAUCGCAAGACCUCGCGCGAUUGGAGCGGCCGAUAUCAGAUUAGGUAGUUGGUGGGGUAAAGGCUCACCAAGCCAACGAUCUGUAGCUGGUCUGAGAGGACGACCAGCCACACUGGAACUGAGACACGGUCCAGACUCCUACGGGAGGCAGCAGUGGGGAAUUUUGGACAAUGGACGCAAGUCUGAUCCAGCCAUUCCGCGUGCAGGAUGAAGGCCCUCGGGUUGUAAACUGCUUUUGUACGGAACGAAAAGGUCUCUCUUAAUACGGGGGUCUCAUGACGGUACCGUAAGAAUAAGCACCGGCUAACUACGUGCCAGCAGCCGCCGUAA